CACUAAUCAGACCACACAUCUGGACAUCUGUCAGUUCUGUCACACACGUUCAGAUCAGGGCUUACCUUUACUGUACAUCGUGCUGAUUUCUGCUGCUGCUGGAUCUCUGUUGAUCGUAGCUGCAGUCUUGUGGUGCUGCUUCUGCUGGAAACAAAGGAAAAUAGGUCAGAAAUUCAUGAUCAACGAUAUAUACCAAACACUGCCUAAACCAAGACCAUGAAAAACGACAGUGAACAGAUGUGGGUGGUCAGGUUUGAUCAUGACUUGUUCGGUGUCCUGUCAUAGCUGUGUGGGCGGAGUCAGUGUGGGGGAUAACAGUCCUUUUCCCCCUCAUUGGAAAAGCAUGGUGUAGAAUCAUUUCUGCCACUCGACAGAGCAACAUACGAAUAAAAACUGAGCCGUACUGGGUCGGACUGUCUGUACGGUAUCUGUGACUGGACAAACUUCGACAGAAUGGACAAAGGUGUUGUUUCCCGACAUUUUCUGUUAACGUUACUUAAUGGAGCAAGAGGCACUUACUACAAGCCUUGUGAAAAGUAAACAUUUGAUGUUUUGUUUUGCUU